rnacentral:rRNA from 1 species
UACGUAGGGGGCAAGCGUUGUCCGGAAUCAUUGGGCGUAAAGCGCGUGUAGGCGGUCCGGUAAGUCCGCUGUAAAAGUCGGGGGCUCAACCCUCGGAUGCCGGUGGAUACUGUCGGGCUUGAGUACGGAAGAGGCGAGUGGAAUUCCUGGUGUAGCUGUGAAAUGCGCAGAUAUCAGGAGGAACACCAAUUGCGAAGGCAGCUCGCUGGGACGUUACUGACGCUGAGACGCGAAAGCGUGGGGAGCAAACAGG